GAGAGAGAGAGAGAGAUUCCUACAGAAUACAAGACAAGACUAUCACAAUGAGCUGAAAUGUUGGGUCUGUGAAAGUAAUGAGAAGCACAGUGGGGAUAAGUUUCUGAAGGAUGGAAGAGGCUGGAGGCUGUCUAGUGGGAGAAAGUUCCCAGACACGUGAGAGACCCAGCAACAGUAUGUAGGUAUUAAGAGAUGGAAACUUUGGGAGGUGACUAGAUCAUGAGGGUGGAGCCUUCGUGAACAGGACCAGUGCCCUUAUGAAAGAAGCCUGAGGGAGUUCAACUCACCCCUUUCUAUGAUGUGAGGAUGCAGCAAGAAGAUGUUGUC